rnacentral:rRNA from 1 species
UUUAUGGAGAGUUUGAUCCUGGCUCAGGACGAACGCUGGCGGCGUGCCUAAUACAUGCAAGUCGAGC